AGAGUUUGAUCCUGGCUCAGAGCGAACGCUGGCGGCAGGCUUAACACAUGCAAGUCGAACGGGCGUAGCAAUACGUCAGUGGCAGACGGGUGAGUAACGCGUGGGAACGUACCUUUUGGUUCGGAACAACACAGGGAAACUUGUGCUAAUACCGGAUAAGCCCUUACGGGGAAAGAUUUAUCGCCGAAAGAUCGGCCCGCGUCUGAUUAGCUUGUUGGUGAGGUAAUGGCUCACCAAGGCGACGAUCAGUAGCUGGUCUGAGAGGAUGAUCAGCCACAUUGGGACUGAGACACGGCCCAAACUCCUACGGGAGGCAGCAGUGGGGAAUAUUGGACAAUGGGCGAAAGCCUGAUCCAGCCAUGCCGCGUGAGUGAUGAAGGCCCUAGGGUUGUAAAGCUCUUUUGUGCGGGAAGAUAAUGACGGUACCGCAAGAAUAAGCCCCGGCUAACUUCGUGCCAGCAGCCGCGGUAAUACGAAGGGGGCUAGCGUUGCUCGGAAUCACUGGGCGUAAAGGGUGCGUAGGCGGGUUUCUAAGUCAGAGGUGAAAGCCUGGAGCUCAACUCCAGAACUGCCUUUGAUACUGGAAGUCUUGAGUUCGGGAGAGGUGAGUGGAACUGCGAGUGUAGAGGUGAAAUUCGUAGAUAUUCGCAAGAACACCAGUGGCGAAGGCGGCUCACUGGCCCGAUACUGACGCUGAGGCACGAAAGCGUGGGGAGCAAACAGGAUUAGAUACCCUGGUAGUCG
rnacentral:rRNA from 1 species